UGCCCCGUGGCCUAAUUGGUUAAGGCGUCCGACUGUUAAUCGGGAGAUUGAGAGUUCAAUCCUCUCCGGGGCAG
rnacentral:tRNA from 1 species